AAAUAAGAAGUAAAAAUUUACAUUUAGUUUCGACCUAAAAAUUUGGUAUUUAAAAUACCCUUAUUUA
rnacentral:tRNA from 1 species